AACCUUCAGGGGGCAAUUUGUAAUUUUUCAAACCUCAUGGAGGAAUCUGUAUUUUUACCAAACCUCGAGGGGGUGUUUGUAAUUUGUCCCCAAAAAAUCUUAAUUUACACCUUUUGAGUUUAAAAAAAGUAAACUCUAGUUUUCCAUUAUUAUCACAUUGAUUGUUAUACACUCUAUACUCCUCUAUUGCUUGCAAAACAAUACUCUCAAAACAUCUCUCAUAUUGCCUUAAUCUCUAAGUUUAUACUUUAUUAUUUAUAUCAUUUUCGUAUUUAGUUUCACUAUUUUUACUUGAUUUUGAUAUGGAAGAGUUGCAAACUAAUGGAAGUUCGAACUCAAGCAACAAAUAGACAACUCAACAUUUGGAUUCAGAAAAAUUAUGAAUGCACCCAUUCAAAUUUAUCCAUGUAAAAUAAACACUCAAAAUAGAUUUCACAAAAUAGGUAUCAAAAUCCUCUAGAGUGAAACCCUGAAGUGAUCUCUUAAUGUGAAAGAUCGAACAGCUUAAAAUAAGACUCACCAAAACGACGUUAUUUUGGUGAGUAAUUUCAAAAAAAAAAAAAAGCAGUUUUAAUUCAAAAUAUCGAUGUUCUACCGAUAUGAAGCAUUACACACACACACACAGAGAAAGAAAAGGGCUAAGAGAAGGAGCUCUUUCGAUGUGUAGCUGUCACGCCGCUGCUCGCCAUACUCCAACAGAUUGAAGGAAAAAAGCCAUGGGUAAAAAAAUGCCAACAUCAAAUGCAUUUAUGAGUGAUAGUAGUGAAAUUCAGUAUAGAAAUCGAAAAUGUCGUUGCGGGCGAGAGCAGCAUUCAAGAUUUCAGAGUCAAAGGAAAAUCCAGGGAUGGUAUACUUUGCCUUUACAUAAACAACGUCAAUGGUUGAAGAUGGUAAAGGAGGAAAGCGACGAAAAUUGUAAUAUCAACCAUUUGGUCAACGAACUAAUUGUAUCCGAUGGUGAGCUGAAAGAGAUGGUUACAAAGUUUAAGAAAUAAAGUAAACAAAUGGUUAUAGAGAUUAGACAAUUUUGAGAAAAAUUACACUACGCCAUUGUAAUAGUAUUAAUUGGAUUUUGACUUCUUUUAUUGUUUAGAUAUUAAGUAUAAAUUAAGUUCGAAUUUGGACU